rnacentral:rRNA from 1 species
GUGCCAGCAGCCGCGGUAAGACAGAGGUGCCAAGCGUUAGGCGGAAUCACUGGGCUUAAAGCGUGUGUAGGCGGAUCGUUAAGUACCUUGUGAAAUCCCACGGCUCAACCGUGGAACUGCUGGGUAUACUGGCGAUCUUGAGCCACCUAGGGGCGAGCGGAACAAGCGGUGGAGCGGUGAAAUGCGUAGAUAUCGCUUGGAACGCCAAUGGUGAAAACAGCUCGCUGGGGGUGUGCUGACGCUGAGACACGAAAGCCAGGGGAGCGAACGGGAUUAGAUACCCCGGUAGUCC